UGUUCGAGCGUCAUUAUAACCACUCAAGCCUAGCUUGGUAUUGGGGUACGCGGUCCCGCGGCCCCUAAAAUCAGUGGCGGUGCCGGUUGGUUCUAAGCGUAGUAAUACUCCUCGCUAUAGACCCCUCCCGGUUCCCUGCCAGAACCCCCCCAUUUUUACAGGUUGACCUCGGAUCAGGUAGGGAUACCCGCUGAACUUAA
rnacentral:misc_RNA from 1 species